rnacentral:lncRNA from 1 species
AGCCGGUCGGCACCGGCGUCCAGCGGCUACCGGUUAAUCGCUGGCAGUUCAAGCUCAAGCUCCAGCGACUGGCCGCAGCAAGCAAGCACCAGACAACUACUGCUCCUGACGCGGCAGUUCGGAGUUGCUGCUCCACAGCACUGCCGUCUUCUCCAUUCAUCCUGCAGCCAAAGAGCAAUCUCCGGCAACCGACGGGCACCACAUGGUUGCUGCUCGAUCCUCCACCUCCACGAUGUUGCAGGCCAACGCAUGGAAGAAUUAAUAGAUCCAAAUUAUCUUGAUUUUGAGCUACUGAGGAUGCUAUUUGGGACUAGUUUGGAAGAGGCAUGGAUAGGAAACGUUGGAGAACAACAAGAUUAA